UACGUAGGGGGCAAGCGUUGUCCGGAAUCAUUGGGCGUAAAGAGCGCGUAGGCGGCCCGGUAAGUCCGCUGUAAAAGUCCAGGGCUCAACCCUGGAAAGCCGGUGGAUACUGUCGGGCUAGAGUCCGGAAGAGGCGAGUGGAAUUCCUGGUGUAGCGGUGGAAUGCGCAGAUAUCAGGAGGAACACCGGUGGCGAAGGCGGAUCUCUGGGCCAUUACUGACGCUGAGGAGCGAAAGCGUGGGGAGCGAACAGG
rnacentral:rRNA from 1 species